GACACAUUACAAAGUAGUAUUAUUUUUAAACUGAAAUCCUGUUACACAUGUUGCUUAUGGAAUGUGGUCUCCUGCAUGUUCUCGCUUUUCGCCGCCAUCACUGUUAGUUUAAGUGGAAGUACUUAAGUGCUUUCUAAUGCGAUACUUAGGCCUAGUUUAAAUUUUCUUACAAUAUUUGCAUUUAAAAGGAACGCUAAGAAAUACUGGUGUUGUCGUAAAAUGUUUAAUCCAAUAUCGGUAAAACUACUGAAAUGACGAUAUUUGUGCCAAGGAUAGUUCUUCACAUUUCCGGUAAAGAGAAGGGCGAUGUGAGGUACAAACCGAAACAAUAGUACAGGAAAACCCCCCAAAAAUAACGUUUGUUGGGUCUGAUUCACGGUAUACGAGAUUUUUUUUUAAGUAAAGGGCUGAAAGUGAGCCUCUUGCACUAAGUGGAACUAUUUCAGCCGACGGCAGGACGAAAGCUAAAAUCCUACGGGUUUAUUAAUGCAAGACACCUAAGGGGCUUUAACGUGGAUCGGAGGAACAAGGAGCAGAGGGUUAGAGGCUUCUAAUGUGAGGAAAAACACGCAAUGACAAGUGUGGAAAAGAGCAAGCACUAAAUUACUGUCAGAAAAAUAAACGGAGUAGCACACCGUUGCAUGGUGAUUUACGGGGGCAAUUACUCACCACCCCAUGGAGCUGCUGAGGACAGCACUGCUGCAGAAGUGUCAGGAAAAGAGGCAAAAGAAGCUGCAGGGCUGAAUACUUCAUUUUCUUUCUCUCACUCUUCAAAACAAAAAGUCGGAGAGGGACUUCAGUUGUUACAACCCCAGCAUAGUACAUGCUCUUUUUUGAUGACCAUGAGAACAAACCAACAAGAUACUGUAUUAUCUUCCAGCACUUUGAGUCUCUUAUUUUUGCUGCGUUGCAGACUUUUAAAAAUUAUAUGUUACUUUCUCUUUUCCACUCAUUUGAGAACAUUAAUCUUUUAAUGACAACUCUGUAGAGUUUGUAGAAUUUUGUUCACUGAUUGUACCUAUAUUUCUCUGUUAUAUGACUGGCAAACCUGACUUACUGGCAAAAGAAAAUAUCUUUACAUUUGAUAAAACUUA